AUUUUAGUGUACUUGUUUAUAUGGAACCACUCCAACCCAUCUCGAACUUGGUUGUGAAACAUAUUAAAGGGUGAAAAUACUAUAACCGAGGGGUUAUGGAAAAAUAACCUUAUGCUAGAAU
rnacentral:rRNA from 1 species